AAAUGCAAAAUUUAUUUGCGCAUGGCGCAUGGAGGUUUCAUUCUAAUGGAACAAGGUACUGUUAAAUGGUUCAACGCUGACAAAGGUUACGGUUUUAUCACUCUUGAAAACGGCUCAGAUGUAUUCGUACACUUCUCAGCUAUCAACUCAGAAGGCUUCAAGACUCUUGAAGAAGGCCAAAAGGUAACUUUGGACGUUGAAGACGGCGACCGCGGCCCACAAGCUGCUAACGUUACUGUUGCUUAAUUUUAAAUUAAGCCCUGAAAAAGCACCGAUCAUUUGAUCGGUGCUUUUUU
rnacentral:other from 1 species